GGACGCGGGUGUCGCUGACUGUUGGCGAUCCCAUUUUCCUGAUCCGCGAUGCCCUACCUGUGAGGCAAGGUCACCCCUAGAGAGGCAGGGUGUGUAGGCUGUGGUCAGCUGGGAGUUGCCCACAUUUGCAGUGGAGUUGGAUGCACGCGGGUGUCGGUGACUGUUGGCGAAUCCCAUUUUCCUGAUUCGCGAUGCCCUACCUGUGAGGCGAGGACGCCCCUGGAGAGGCAGGGUGUGUAGGCGUUGGUCAGCUGAGAGUCACCUGCAUCUGCAGUGGAUUUGGCUGCACGCGGGUGUCGGUGACUGUUGGCGAAUCCCAAUUUCCUGAUCCGCGAUGCCCUACCUGUGAGACGAGAAUGCCCCUGGAGAGGCAACGUGUGUAGGCGUUGGUCAGCUGGGAGUCACCAACAUCUGCAGUGGAGUUGGCUGCACGGGGGUGUCGGUGACUGUUGGCGAAUUCCAUUUUCUUGAUCCGCGAUGCCCUACCUGUGAGGAGAGGACGCCCCUGGAGAGGCACGUUGUGUAGGCGUUGGUCAGCUGGGAGUCGACCACAUCUGCAGUGGAGUUGGCUGCACGCGGGUGUCGGUGACUGUUGGCGAAUCCCAUUUCCUGAUCCGCGAUGCCCUACCUGUGAGGUGAGGACGACCUUGGAGAGGCAGGGUGUGUAGGCGUUGGUCAGCUGGGAGUCACCCACAUCCGCAGUGGUGUUGGCAGGACGCGGGUGUCGGUGACUGUUGGCGAAUCCCGCGAUGCCCUACCAGUGAGGUGAGGACGCCCCUGGAGAGGCAGGGUGUGUAGGCUGUGGUCAUCUGGGAGUCGCCCACAUCUGCAACCUAUCUUGAAAGAAGUUUCUGUGUCUGAUAUCAAAGAGGUUACUGCCUAUGUUUCUUUUGAGACAUGAAAUGAAGGAAAGUUUGGGAGGAAUUCUGCAUCCCAUCCUCAAGGGCCAGUGGGAAUUUUUAUGCUGGUUGGAAGUAAGAUGGCAGUUGCAUGGAAUUCUUGCCACUUCACCAAAGAAUACUUGAUUUUGUCACUUUUACCAACUCCCUUAUCUGAGAAGAAACAAUGAUGCACUCUUAAGAUAAUGAUGGAUGCAUAUGCCAUUUCCAGAGAGUGAGAUGACAAAUUAUUUUUAAGUCAGUGCUACCUGUGGCCUUUUGGAUGCCCUUGCAGAUUACUUCUUGGGAACUCUUGGGUAUGAAUGAUACCAGUAAAUCUCUGAAACAAGACUCUUCAGACAAGGAAACUGUGGUCUGAGGACCACACUUUGAAGGUGGUGACCACCAAUAUGAGGUCGAUUUGUUAUUGAGGGUGCCAUUACUUCUACCACCAACUGCACCAAAACAAUGAUACACUCUUCUUUAUGCUUGGCGAUUCCUCUCUUUCCUGUGUUGCAGUGGACACCUCCUGCAGAUAAGAAAUGCUUAACUGAGAAAUGCUCAUGUUGGGAUAUCAUCGAUGAGACUUUAAUUUGGGCAUGGUGACUGUUUCCCUUGCUGCCACUUGACUCAAUCCCAGGAGCCUCAGUAGAGGAAAUAUUAUUAUACAAGAAACUCAAAAUGGUGGAAUUUCUCAGUGCUCCCAUAAAUAUACAUUUAUAAUUUCCAUUUACCAUAUGGUAAAAAUUUUAAAUAGGAUAUAUUAAAAUAAACUGCACAAUUUUUUUCAAAAAUUCAAAGCAUAUUUAAAUAUCUAAUAUAUAAAUUAUGUGCCCUCCUCUCUGCCAGUUCUCUCCCCCAGAGUUUUCUUCUCUUAAGAGUUGUGUGCAUUCUUUAAUUGGAUAGAUGCACACACACAGACACACAUAUACACAAACUAUUUAGAGGGGUUCUGGAAGUGGGGCCAUACUGUACACAUUCUUGUGCAAAUUGCCUUUCAUUUUACAGUUUUAAUACCCUUUUCUAUUUCAAUAAUAUACAUCUGUGUCAUUUGUUGAAUGACUGCAUGACUGUUUUGUAGAUGAAAUAUAAUUAAAUGUUAUAAGACUUUCUCAUCCAUAGAUAUUUGUUAGCACAAAAUUUUUGUGCAGUGAACCUCCCUAUCAAUAAUUUUGCAUUUGUCUCUUAUAUAAUAAUAAAUUACUUAGCAGUUGAAAUACUGGGAUUAUGCACAUUUAAAAUUAUUACAAGAUUUCCUUAAAAUGUGUUAACAACUUUAUCUUCAAAUGGCAAUGAAUGAGAUUGCCAGCUUUCCCACAACUACACAGAUAAUGGAUUUUAUAAAUAUUUAAACUUUUUGCAAAUGUGAUAGCCCAAACUAUUGUCUUAAAUUGUAUUUCUUUUGUUUUUGAGUUUGAUCAUUUUUUCAUAUGUUUAUUAGCCAUUUGUAUUCUUUAAUUUCCUCUUUAUGUCCAAUUUUGGGGGUGGAGGUUUAAUCUUCUAAUUUUGAAGAGCUAAUUUAUUAUUGAGGAAAAAGGGUUUGGAUUGUUAAGCUUUACAGAUAUUUUUUAUGCACUUUUAAACUUUAUUUUUGUUAUAAGAAUGUGUAUGAUUGUUAUAUGUCCAAGUAUAACCAUGUUUGCUUUAAUGGCUUAUGAGUUUCAUGACAUUUUGGAAAAAGAUUUAUACUGAUUUCAUAAAACCGUUCACCUAUGUUAA